GCAACGGGAAUGUUUAUGGAUUGACUUUUUCUGGAUUCCUUUCCUUCCAUUUGAUUCCAGAUGAGAACUGGUUCUGCAAAGACAGGAGCACUGAGACAACUAUGACUAUCCCCUUUCUAAAUGUGUGACAACUGUAAAGAGGACUAUAUUUCCUGAAUUAGACUACAAGCACCACAAAAG